GAUGAACGCUGGCGGCGUGCCUAAUACAUGCAAGUCGAGCGAACAGAUGAGGAGCUUGCUCCUCUGACGUUAGCGGCGGACGGGUGAGUAACACGUGGAUAACCUACCUAUAAGACUGGGAUAACUUCGGGAAACCGUAGCUAAUACCGGAUAAUAUAUUGAACCGCAUGGUUCAAUAGUGAAAGACGGUUUUGCUGUCACUUAUAGAUGGAUCCGCGCCGCAUUAGCUAGUUGGUAAGGUAACGGCUUACCAAGGCAACGAUGCGUAGCCGACCUGAGAGGGUGAUCGGCCACACUGGAACUGAGACACGGUCCAGACUCCUACGGGAGGCAGCAGUAGGGAAUCUUCCGCAAUGGGCGAAAGCCUGACGGAGCAACGCCGCGUGAGUGAUGAAGGUCUUCGGAUCGUAAAACUCUGUUAUUAGGGAAGAACAAAUGUGUAAGUAACUAUGCACGUCUUGACGGUACCUAAUCAGAAAGCCACGGCUAACUACGUG
rnacentral:rRNA from 1 species